ensembl:lncRNA
GGGGGGGGGUGGGCUCAGCUAGUCCGGCCUGUGUUCUGUCUUCUCAAGCUCUGCAGACCCUGGGGAGAUGUCUCUCCUUCCACCAGGGCCUCCAGCAUAGUUGUAUGCUGUGUGAAACUGGCAGCUACUGAUGGUGACCAUGGACCUGCUUUGCCUGAGGUCUUGAGUUCCUUCUCCUCGGAGCCUCCUUAUCCCCCUACUCCAGGUCAGGUUCUAUUAUCCCUUCUUCAUCCUUUAUAUAAGAGCUAGGGGGAAUUGAUGUCCUAGACAAAAUACUUUCAGCCCUAUCAUCCCCCAUAUCCUCCGGGGGAGGGAGUCUUUUUUCAUAAUACUUGUUUAAAUUGAGUUGUGAUUUAUAAUACGUGCUGUAAAAUUCAUUAAUGUUAAAUGGGUAGUUGAUGAAUUUUUCCUUUUACCUCAGGUGCCAUUAUGGCUCUCCACAGCACUGUCAAAAUUUUUGAUAACCCUUUACAAUAUUCUUGAACCUUCCCUAGCAUUUUCCCAUCUUAAUUAACGGAAGAGAUUUAGUACAUUUGGAAUCCAACCCACCCUCUUUCUUUCCAAGUCCUUUGAUGAGUUUGCCCAACAAAGGUAACACGAGAAAGAGGCCUUUGGGCAACAUUCUGUCAUCUCUGUUACCCUGACACAGGUCCUAAAGCAGCAGCAAGCUAGUGUCCUUCACACUUCCCUGUUUAUAGGAAUUUGCACUUCAUGUGUCAUUUGUGGAAAACUUUCCCUGUCUCUUUAGAAAUCAAUGGUCUGAAAUUACUCCUAGUUCUUGAAAUGCGUGACUCAUUUGUAAUCAUACAAUCCCUAACUUUGCUGCCUGCUGUGUGCGUUCUCUGAAAGACUAACACUGGGAGCUGCUUGUACUAGUUUACCUACUGUUUGUAGCUUCAUAACACUUAACUGGCUAGCACAUAAAUAUUGAAAACCCACAUCCUUUCUUCUGGAAUCCAAGAAUGCGUUGCUUUACUUCUUGGCACAUGUAUCUUGGGAGUUUGUCCCACUACAAUCAAUGACCUCAUCCUUUUCACUCAUAAGAGAUGUUAUUGACAUCUCUCUUAGAUUUACCUCAACUAGGAAAUGUUCAUGUAAUCUUUUGCUGCUGCUGCUAAGGCACUUCAGUUGUGUCCAACUCUGUGCGACCCCAUAGAUGGAAGCCCACCAGGCUCCCCCGUCCCUGGGAUUCUCCAGGCAAGAACACUGGAGUGGGGUGCCAUUGCCUUCUCCGAUGUAAUCUUUUAGACGUGUUUAAUUAGUAUUUACCCACUGUUUUUCCUAAGGCAUCAAAGAAUGUGAAGUGGAAACUAGAAGCAUUAUUCAAAGCUUCAGAGAGCAAACAGAACAUUUCUUUGAAAUCUUGUAUUUUAUCUUUAAAAUGCAUGGUCAUCUUGCAUUCUAUUCCAUAAUUCAUUCACUCAAAAAUCAGGUGCCUACUCAGUGCCAUUGUUCCAGGGAUACAGCAACAAACACAAAUAUUUGUGUAGGUGUUUCACCUAGUAAUACUGUAUACCAUUUAACACAAGUUAAAAACUGAAACAAUUUUCCCUGAUUCAAGAGCAAAACUGGUAAUUCAAGACGAGCCAAUUAUUGCUUCAAAUACCAGCCAGUCAUGCUGUUACUGGGUGGGGCUUCCCAGGUAGCACUAGUGGUAAAGAACCUGCCUACCAAGGCAAGAGAACUAAGAGACCUAAGGGUUCAGUCCCUGGGUUGGGAAGAUCCCC